rnacentral:rRNA from 1 species
AGUGAACGCUGGCGGUAGGCCUAACACAUGCAAGUCGAACGGCAGCACAGUAAGAGCUUGCUCUUACGGGUGGCGAGUGGCGGACGGGUUAGGAAUACAUCGGAAUCUACUUUUUCGUGGGGGAUAACGUAGGGAAACUUACGCUAAUAUCGCAUACGACCUACGGGUGUCAGCAGGGGAUCUUCGGACCUUGCGCGAUUGAAUGAGCCGAUGUCGUAUUAGUUAGUUGGCGGGGUAAAGGCCCACCAAGGCGACGAUCCGUAGAUGGUCUGAGAGGAUGAUCAGCGACACUAGAACUGAGACGCGGUCCAGACUCCUACGGGAGGCAGCAGUGGGGAAUAUUGGACAACGGGCGCAAGCCUGAUCCAGGCAUACCGCGUGGGUGAAGAAGGCCUUCGGGUUGUAAAGCCCUUUUGUUGGGAAAGAAAAGCAGCAGGUUAAUACCCCGCUGUUCUGACGGUACCCAAAGAAUAAGGACCGGCUAACUUCGUG